CACGGAGGGUGCAAGCGUUGUCCGGAUUCACUGGGCGUAAAGGGAGCGCAGGCGGGUUAUCAAGUUGGGGGUGAAAGCCCGGGGCUCAACCUCGGAAUUGCCUUCAAAACUGAUAACCUGGAGUAUGGAAGAGGUAAGUGGAACUCCGAGUGUAGAGGUGAAAUUCGUAGAUAUUCGGAAGAACACCAGUGGCGAAGGCGACUUACUGGUCCAUUACUGACGCUGAGGCUCGAAAGCGUGGGGAGCAAACAGG
rnacentral:rRNA from 1 species